rnacentral:tRNA from 1 species
GGUGUGUAGCUCAGGGGUAGAGUGCGUGCCUAGCAUGCACAAGGCCCUGGUUCAAUCCCCAGGACCACCA